rnacentral:rRNA from 1 species
UACGUAGGAGGCAAGCGUUGUCCGGAUUUAUUGGGCGUAAAGAGCGUGUAGGCGGCCAGGUAGGUCCGCUGUGAAAACUCGAGGCUCAACCUCGAGAUGUCGGCGGAAACCAUCUGGCUAGAGUCCGGAAGAGGAGAGUGGAAUUCCUGGUGUAGCGGUGAAAUGCGCAGAUAUCAGGAAGAACACCCGUGGCGAAGGCGGCUCUCUGGGACGGUACUGACGCUGAGACGCGAAAGCGUGGGGAGCGAACAGG